AUGGCCUGGACCCCUCUCCUGCUCCCUCUCCUCACUCUCUGCACAGGUUCUGUGUCCUCUUCUAAGCUUACUCAGUAUCCUGCAGUGUCAUUUUCCUUGGGACAGACAGCCACCAUCACCUGCCAGGGAGAAACCCUAAGAAGCCACUAUCCUAGCUGGUACCAGAAGAAUACAGGACAGGCCCCUGUAUUGCUCAUCUAUGGUAAUAACAACCGGCCCUCAAGGAUCCCUGCCCGAUUUUCCAGCUCCUACUCAGAGGACACAGGCACCCUGACCAUCAGUGGGGUCCAGAUCGAGGAUGAGGCUGACUAUUACUGCCAAUCGUGGGGCAGUGAUUAUGCUCACAGUGGCACAGGCUGA